GGGCGGCCAGAUCCUGGGCUGUGUCCCCGGCGCCCUGUGCUCCCGGGCCUGUGCUGUUGGAUUUGUGCUCCCGGCUGCGCAGCCGCCU
rnacentral:pre_miRNA from 1 species